GUAAAUAGGAUGGAUUAUUUGGGGGGAUUAACAUUAUAAAUAUUGGUGCUGGGAUGUUCACAAAUCAAAAUGACUUGAUGAACUGCAGAAUCAGGUCUUCCUGUCGCUGUAAAUAACCACCCAGGGCAGAGUUGGAAAGUACAGUACUUUCCCAGCAUGAGAUCAGACUGUGUCUCAGCUGGUUAAAAUGCUUCCCCUACUUUUAAUGCAUCUAUAAAACUUUACAGUUUAAGUGUAAACAAGCACUUUUUAGCCUCCUUCCCAGACAGAAGAGGGAAUCUCUGUGGCUGCUUGCUUAAAGAAACAAAUGGAGUCACUGAAUUGACAGACGUAUCCUUGACCAUCCUUUAGUUAAUGAAUUAGGUUCAUCAGUCUACUCCUCAACUCAGGUGGAGUCAUCUAGAGGGAAGGCCAGAAGGGCUUCCCAGUGGAAAGUCCCUGAGGAGAAAGGCUCUAUUUUCCAAUGGGGAGGAUGUCACAAGAACUGCGGUGGGGAUUUCUCUGCAGAUCAUUGCUGUACCUUCCUGGAUUGCCUUUUAUAGCUACAAGUGGGCUUUGGAUCAGACAGUGUUCAUCAGGAAGCAGCAGUUUGGUUUGUAAACUCAGUGUCUUUUGGAAAGGGAAAAAGUUACUUCUUUCUCAGGCUGAUGCAUUUUUUGGAUGAGCAAUGCACGUAGAAAGCACUGUGUUCUCUGUACUUUUGCUGCAGUUUGCAAAAGAGAGGUCACAGGAUGUACAGGUAAGUCUCAAUAUCCUUCAUUCUUGUCUUAUUGAUAACUACAAGGCUACAAUGCAAGAAGAAUGUCCCAAGGAGUAUUUGAGCAAAGUCAAAAUCUGAGUUCCCAUUUCUGGAUUUCUUCUUCCAGGGUCCCAGUAGGCAUAGGAGUGGGGAGAUGACAAAGAUUUCCUCUGCUUUUUGUUCCAGGAGUCCCCCAUGUUUCAUUCUUCUGUCAAGAUCCUAGAGGCACUAAGAACAAACAGUUUCCAUCCAGCUGCUGGGUGACUCAGAAUAGAUCCUGGUUGAGAAGUGCCCCUGAUGCGAGUCUCACGUUUACACAACUAGGUCUUCUCACCCUAUUCCUAAUCUGCAUAGGAAAAGGGAGACAGACCAUCCAGACCAAAGUAUUUUGCAGAGGGGAGCAUUGUAUGAAGGUGUCUUUAAACCAGGCUAGUUUCAACAUGAAGGCAUUCCAGUAAUGUGGGAUUGCAGGACUGUAGAAACUUGCUAGCUAUACCCACUUCUCUCUGGGCAUGAUCCUGGAUGUGUUGGGGGAGUGGUGUAGAGCUAAGUAAACUGUAGAUUACAUCGGGAAUACCCUGUGGGAGCCAAACGUGCUUUCUUUAUGUCAAUCUGGCACAGCCAUAGUGGGGCUAUGCAUCUAAGGGAGGAAUUUCACGUCCUGGGAUCUUUGACUGAAUGAGUGGUUUGCAUGAGUUCACCUGGUCCUGCUUUAUGAGCACAGGGGUUGCAUGGCUGUCUUUCUGUGCUGUUAUAGGCAGUAAAUAACUUUACAUACCGUGUUCUUAUGACACUCUAUAGUAAAUCACUGAGGUUCCACUUUCCAUGCUCGUGUCUCAGCUACUUGUGUGAGUCUUGACUGGCAUGAUUAGAGUUCUGAGCAGACUUCAAACCUUUACUGAGUGCCCGUCCUGUCCCUGGUAUU
ensembl:lncRNA